UUUGCUGUUGCUGCUGUUGCUGUCACCGACCAGUUGGCUGGCCCGGCUGCUUUGACCGUUUAGGCCAAACUUGGUAAAUUGUUUUGUUGAGCGCUGAACGUUUUUGUCCGCUGAGGCCUUUCUUUUCUUGCUGUUGUUGCUGCUGUUGCAGCUAGUACUGCUUAUGGGCCUGCGACAAUUUUAAUUACUACUUGCCUGGGCAGGCUGAUGCACAACGAGAAAUUAGCAUUGAUUUGGUACAAUUUACAUAUCAAAGUCGGCAGCAGCAGCAACUUCCUGCCAUAUCAAUUGCAACAGCAACAACAGCAGCAGCAGCAGCAGCCGCUUCAUCUUUUGCCGGUGUGCAGCAGAUGUUUUGGAUGGGUCAAGCGAUCGCCACCAGGUCCAAGUCUCUAACCAACAAGCUGCCAUUUACAGAGCGUUGCGCCCACCGGGCCGCAGUUGCCACUGCUGCACAGGCACGGCUGUUGAGUCCAUUGGCCUCAUGCUGUUUACUUGCACCACUUUUUGCUGUUAGUGCAACAUUACGUGUUGCUGUCGUGCUGCUGUUGUGAUGUUGCUGCUGCAUCUGCUGUGCGAGUGCUCGCACUCAUUGCGCUGCCCAUUUUUUCAGUGGGUAUUAAAAUUACUUGGCAUGUAAUUAGUUUGCUUUUUGUACCCUUUGCCAAGAUCACUCGCUGCGUGUGGCCCCAAAACGUUCGUUUGAGGGCUCGCAUAAUGUUGUGUGUGUGUGUGGAUGCGACAUGUUGCCGUUGUCCAUGCUCCUGCUGCUGUUGUCGUUGUUGUCUGCACGCUAGAGGUGUUAUUUUUAUGGCUUUAUAAUGUGACUCAGUUUUUGUUGCCGUUGCCGUUGAUGCUGCUGCCGCUGGCGCUGUUUAUUACCCCGUUACGUGGCAUGUCAAUCACUUGACCCGCAAUGCAGUUUGCGCAAACAAAAUGCAACGAAGCCAAUGAAACUCUCAUUAAUUCAGAGCGACAGAUACAAAGAAAGGGAGUGAAAGUGCAAAGCCAGCAAUAUGCGUGAAAUGACGAAUGGGCACAAUUUAAGACAAUUUCAAGAAUUUUACGUGCAAAUCGAACCCUAAAUGAAUCCUUAGAUUAAUCUAGGUUGACAACAUGUUAAGACUUUGCAGAUUCCUAUUAUGUUUAGGUUAGAAGGAGACAUUAUUAAAUAUAUAUUUUCUCGAUCAGUAUCAACUGAACCAUGCAAACUAGUCUGUAGAUCUGUCGUUGUAUUGUAAGCAGCAAUCGCUUUAUAGACUCGAUAGAUCGGGUUGAAUUUAGUUAUUCUAUAAACAUCUUUACUUUAUACAAAAUCUUGUCAAACAAAUCACAAUAUCAUAUAGCUCUAAUCAGGUCAAAAGUUAGAUUUUGUAUAAUUUUGUAUAAAGUGUAUUCAACGUUCGUCGUGUUGCACAUAGCUGCUCUUUCCUGUAUUAUAAGAUCUUAUGCACAAAUUGCAAUUGACUCUGUUUUUUCUUGUUUCCAUUUGUGCUACUUUUCGCACAGAGAUCGUUUCUCCGUUUGAGUUGAAAAUUAUUGUGAUUACUGGCGACUUUUAGCCGUGAAUUGUUAUAUUUCUUUUUGUUGUUGUUGUCCAGAUGUGCACCUGUUCCACUUGCAGAUUCUCUUUUUAUCUGCCUAAAUUAAGCUGUUUGUAACUGGUAAAUUAAGACAUUUCUGAUUUUAUGUAGAAUAAAAAUAUACGCUUU